AGACAGCACGGCGACUGGCGUACGGGGAGACAACCUCGGGGAAGCCGCGCGAAGCCACACCUUCGAGGUGCCGCCCGCCUGGGCACCCCGG
rnacentral:ncRNA from 2 species